CACGUAGGCACCAAGCGUUGUCCGGAUUUAUUGGGCGUAAAGAGCUCGUAGGCGGUUCGAUAAGUCGGGUGUGAAAACUUUGGGCUCAACCCAAAGCGUGCAUUCGAUACUGUUGUGACUAGAGUUCGGUAGGGGAGUGGGGAAUUCCUAGCGUAGCGGUGAAAUGCGCAGAUAUUAGGAGGAACACCGGUGGCGAAGGCGCCACUCUGGGCCGAAACUGACGCUGAGGAGCGAAAGCGUGGGUAGCAAACAGG
rnacentral:rRNA from 1 species